UCCUUUGGCUCGGAGGAGAGGGGUGGGCUGCUUUUCCCGAUAUUAUUUUAGCAAUAAUCCCAGCAGCACGGAAGAUUUAUGGCGUUCGUUGGCGCCUCUGCAAAAUCAUCAAUAAAGGCAGACAAUACAAUUUAGCCGAAACCUCCCCAGAAGCUCAGCGGCUCUGGAGGGAAGCACGGGCGGCCAUGAGCGGCACGGAGCCGGGCGGCUGGCCCUGGUGCGAAGGAAGGGAACCAAUUAAUGCAGGAGGGGGCGGCUGGGGCUUAAUCCUGCGGGGAGCGUGGAGCUGGUACAAUAUUGCAGCCCGGGGAAGGAAGGCGUUAGUUCUGCCAGCCAGACGGGCGAGCUGCUUCUCCUCCUAACUGCUCGGUUGCACUUUCCACGGGGGAUAACGGCACCGGGGGCUCCCAGCCCCGCUGCCCACCCAGGUGGGAAGAAAAACCCGUCCCCUCUCCCUUCCCCACCACAUCCCCAUCCUCCACCGGUGCCAAGCACCCUGUGACCGCUCGGGCCUGGAUAAAGAGCCCAGGUGGGACGCGGAGGGAAGCCCCCGGGGGGCCGCAGCCUCCGGUGAAAGGCAGAGGAGCUGCGGCCGCACGCGGCGACCCAGGAAUCCUCUCCUCCUCCCCGCCCCGUGCGUGGCCCUGGCUUUAUUUACCGCAUACCGCUUCCCACCCUGCUGGGAGGACAGAAUUAUUCAUUUCCUCGCCAGCUUUUCCACGGUGCGCAUCGCUCCAGCGCCGAGUGCUUUGCAAACAGCAAUUAAUUAACCUCUGCAGCCCACCUUGCGCGCGCGGGGGAAUUCGCUCUUCCCCCGUAUUCCAGGGGGAAAGAGCCGAAAGUGGGACUCGCUCCGAGGCUGGAGUCCCACUUUCAAACACGAGCCUCCGAGCUGCCCGCGGGGCUCGGCGGAGCUCUGCCAGCUCGGGGUUGGGGUUUUUUUGGAUCUCGGCGGGGCCGGACUGCGUGCUGCGGGCAGCUCGGCUCCCAGGGUGGGAUCUGCUGGGCUCGGGUUGAGCUCUCGGGCGC
rnacentral:lncRNA from 1 species